rnacentral:rRNA from 1 species
UACAGAGGGUGCGAGCGUUGUUCGGAAUCAUUGGGCGUAAAGGGCGUGUAGGCGGUUUGUUAAGUCAUGUGUGAAAUCCCUCGGCUCAACCGGGGAAGGACGCAUGAAACUGGCAAGCUAGAGUACCAAAGAGGGGGGUGGAAUUCCCGGUAUAGCGGUGAAAUGCGUAGAUAUCGGGAGGAACACCUGUGGCGAAGGCGGCCCCCUGGUUGGAUACUGACGCUGAUACGCGAAAGCGUGGGGAGCAAACAGG